rnacentral:siRNA from 1 species
UAAAAAGCUCGUAGUUGAACCU